AUCCCGAUAGAAAGCGUGAAACAGAUGAUAUUGAGAAUGUUACAAAAGCUUUUAGUAUAAAUUACAAUGACCCCAAAAUCUAAACAUAACUUAAACAUUUCCUUUUGUUUCAGGAUACAAUCCCUCAGCUUGUCUGAGAAACGCAGGAUACAACCAGCUCAGAAGGCUGUAAAUAAGAACCUUUUCAAUGACUACUGAGUGACUGUACUCAUAUUGCCACACACACACCUGAUCAUUCCUGACUAAUCUGGUUCAUGUUAUUUUAUCUUUAAAAGUCUGUAACAAUCAAUCAGUUUUUUAAAAACAGUCCUUUUAAUGAUGUUGUUUUGAGCCUGUCAUAACAGUUAGCUUAGUUGCCUGGUUUGGCUCAGGUCAUGAUACUCUUGGGCCUAGGGAGAGUUGUGCAGGUCAGUUUAAAGAUUGUAAGGAGAAACCAAAAGGCUCUCUGAGACAUUUACAAAGACCACACGCGUAAGAGGGGAACAUCAAUCGUAUUGGACACUUCCACUAAACAAUCAAUAUGCAGUUCUGCCAUUAGGUAACACUCAGGUUUUGACCUCUUAAAACCAAGAGAGGCGGCAUCAGUACUGCUUUUAAGUGUUUAUCUUGUAUAUACCUUGUAAGCAUGUGCAUCUGUCAUGUGUGUUGCUGUUGAUAUGUUUACUGUAUAUCUUUAUCUUGUGUUACGUGCCACUUCCUUCUGGGAAAAAAUGUCAUUUAUUCUAUUCAAUUUAAGGUUUCAAAGUGAGGGUAUAUUACCAGUGAACUACCAGAAUUUUGGCAACUUUCAAGUUUUGGGGUGAAUUUUAUAAGAUCACAUCUAGUGAGGUUUUUUGGGUACUUCAGAUUAUCACGUGUCUGUAAUUAUCUUUGGCCCUCUGUGUGGCCUUAUCACAUGUAAAAUAUAUACAAUUUAAAAAUGAAUAGAAUGACUCCGAUGUAAAACAUUAUCCUAAAUGCAAAUCACCAUGAUUUGGGGUCAAACCGGUGGCAGUUGUGAAAAAAGUUGCAGAGUUAAUAAAAAAUAAUGCCGUUGUUGA